AACCUAGCACACCUGCGGUGUGUACCUGCGGAGGGAUCAUUACUGAGUGUAAAAACUCCCAAACCCACUGUGAACAUACCACUGUUGCUUCGGCGGAUGCGCCCCGGGCGCGCCCUACAAAGGCGUGCCCCGGAUCAAGGCCACCGCCGGGGGACCGAAACUCUUGUUUUCCUAAGGAUUCUCUGAGUGUGAUUAUUAAAUCAAAUCAAAACUUUUAACAAUGGAUCUCAGAUCGGAAGA
rnacentral:misc_RNA from 1 species